AAAUUUGUAUUGAUAAUUCGGUUUUUUUGGAGGUCUGGCAGAUCAUUAGACAAGUCGAUUUCAACGCUUCAGAUGGAGCUGGCUGCUACUCGAAGUUCUGAAGAGAUGUGAAGAUCUGAUGAGUUCACUCACAUCUCUGAAUUGACUCAUGAGGGCUUGCCAAGGAAGAAGGCUUUCAUAGUUAUUGGAAUUAAUACUGCUUUUAGUAGUAGGAAGAGGCGCUAUUCGGUCAGACAAACUUGGAUGGCUCAAGAGAGAGACUUCUUCAAUUGGAACAAGAGAUUGGAAUUAACGUCCGGUUCGUGAUCGGCCAUAGGUGACAAACUCGAGAGUAGCUGAACAUAGGUGAGCUGCUGAUUAACUUUAAAUUUUAGCUGAAUUUUCUUCAGACUAAAUCUGACUUAUUACAAACUAGCUUUGUGGUCACAUUGUCCUGUAUAUUUAGCAUUCGAGUCACUAUAAGGAAGAAUAUGUUUCUCACCAUUUUCGAACCAUCAUGCUGUGACAGAAGUUGAUAUUGUGGUAUUUUCUUUUAAGUCACUAUUUCUGUAAUAUUUUGUAAUGCACUGAAAAUUAUAAUAAGGAUCAUUCACUAAAUGUUGCUUUUA